GGUUCCUUAGCUCAACUGGAUAGAGUACUUGACUACGAAUCAAGCGGUUAGAGGUUCGACUCCUCUAGGAAUCA
rnacentral:tRNA from 1 species